CACAGCGGAACAUACAUUGGCGCGUUG
rnacentral:sRNA from 1 species